AUGGCUGAACUGGGCCAUUCCAGAGGGAUUUCCCACCCUCAGCCAUUCCCACCGUCCCAAAUCUCCCAAAAUUCACCUCCUGCUCGUUGUGGGCCUGGAUGGCCUCGUUCCACCUUUUCCGGUUGCUCGCCAGCAUUUCCCGCCGCUCCUCCUCGAACGUUUUCUGCGGGUGAGGCGGGAUUUACCGAAUUCCCGCACUGGGAACAGCCGGGCACGGACGCUUCCCAAACCUUCUUCCCAAAGUCAUCCCCAGCCCCUCAGAUCCCUCGAUUCCGGCCUCAUCCACCCAGAUUUUAUUACAGCACCGUGACUCCAAGGUUUUCCUUAAAUUUUUUCUUCUCCCAGACGAUACAGAGGAGCAAUUUUCCUGCCCUUUUCCCCGUUUUUCCAGCUUUUUUCCCCCUAGUUUUCCUGGUUUUUUUCCCAGGUUUUCCUGCCUUUUCCCCCCACACACUUUUCCAGCUUUUUCCCCUCCAGUUUUCCUGCAUUCUGCCCCAAAUUUCCUGCCUUUUUCCCCCAGUUUUCAUGCUGUUUUUUUCUGGUUUUCCUGUUUUUUUUCUCGGUUUUCCUGCUUUUUUUUCACAGUUUUCCUGCUGUUUUCCUGGUUUUCCUGUUUUUUUCACAGUUUUCCUGUUUUUUCCCCCAGUUUUCCUGCUUUUUUCCCUCCUAGUUUUUCUAUUUUUCCCUUGGUUUCCUGUUUUCCACACCCCCCCAUUUUUCCUGUUUUUUUUCCCCUGUUUUCCUGCUUUUCCCUCCAAUUUUCCUGCUGUUUCCCCCCUAGUUUUCAUGGAUUUUACCAUGGUUUUCCUCCUUUUUUUCCUCCUAUUUUCCUGCUUUUUUUCCUGGUUUUCCUGUUUUUUCCGCAGUUUUCCUGCUUUUUUUCCCCUGUUUUUUCUGCCUUUUCCCCCCAGUUUUCCUUGGGUUUUUUCCCCAGUUUUCCUGCUCUUUUUCAUAGUUUUCCUGCUUUUUUUCACAGCUUUCCUGCCCCUAGUUUUUCUAUUUUUCCCCUGGUUUCCUGUUUUCCACACCCCCCAUUUUUCCUGGUUUUUUUUCCCCUGUUUUCCUGCUUUUCUCCCCAAUUUUCCUGCUGUUUCCCCCCUAGUUUUCAUGGAUUUUACCAUGGUUUUCCUCCUUUUUUUCCUCCUAUUUUCCUGCUUUUUUUCCUGGUUUUCCUGUUUUUUCCGCAGUUUUCCUGCUUUUUUUCCCCUGUUUUUUCUGCCUUUUCCCCCCAGUUUUCCUUGGGUUUUUUUCCCAGUUUUCCUGCUCUUUUUCGUAGUUUUCCUGCUUUUUUUCACAGCUUUCCUGCUUUUUUCCCCCCCAGUUUUCCUGCUUUUUUUCCUGGUUUUCCUGGAUUUUUUUCCCCAGUUUUCCUGCUCUUUUUCCCCGCUUUUCCUGGGUUUUUUCACUUUUCCUCCUUUUUUGCCCCCAUUUUUGCUGCUUUUUUCCCCCCAGUUUUCCUGCUUUUUCCCCCCAGUUAUCCUUGUUUUCCCCAGUUCUCCUGCCCUUUUUUCCCCAGUUUUCCUGGGUUUUUUCCUGGUUUUCCUCCUUUUUAUUCCCCUGCUUUCCUGCCUUUUUUUCCCAGUUUUCCUGUUUUUCCCCCAGUUUUCCUGCAUUUUUCCCCAGUUUUCCUGCUUUUUUCCCACAGUUUUCCUGCUUUUUUCUCCCCCAGUUUUCCUGCAUUUUCCCCAGUUUUCCUGCUUUUUCCCCCCAAUUUUCCAGCUUUUUUCCCCCAGUUUUUCUACCUUUCUUCCAUUUUCCUGA
rnacentral:lncRNA from 1 species